GACAAUGCAGAUAGUGGAGUGCAGUUUAUUACGCCGGCGGGCCCAAGGCAGAGUCUCCUCUUAGCCAAGGGCCAGCUAUUAUUUUUGAAUUGUCUAGUUCUCUCUUCACUUUUGACAAUUUUACUUCAUGUAUUUGGGAGGUUAUUAGGACAUUUAUGUUUAUAACUGUUAUAUAUUCCUGGUAUAUUGACUCAUUUAUUAUUUUAAGAUUCUGACUCCAUUAAAUUAUUUUGUCUUAAGUCUAUUUGUCUUUUUUCUUAUAGUCAUGACAGUUCUCUUUUGGUUAUUGUUUGCAUAGAGUAUCUUUUUCUAUCCUCUUACUUUCAACCUAUUUGUGAUCUUGAAUCUGAAGUGUUUCCCUUGUAGCCAACAGAUAGUUGACUCAUUAAAACAAUCCAUUUUGCCUUUUAAAUAGAGUGUUUGAUCUUUUUACAUAUAAUGUAAUUAUUUAUAAGGUAGGUCUUAUGUCUCCCAUCUUGCCAUUUGUUUUCUAUAUAUCUUCUCUUUUGUGCCUCAACUUCCCCAUUAUUUAUUUUUUUGUGUUAAAUGGACAUUUUGUAGUGUACCAUUUUAAUUCCCUUGUCAUUUCUCUUCCUAUAUAUUAUUUUCUUAUUGGUUGUCUUUGAAAUUAUAAUUAACAUAUUAACUUAUAACAAUUUAAGUUGGGGUUAACACCAACUUAAUUUCAGUAUUAUACAAAACUUUGCCCCUACAUAUAUAUUAAAUUCCAUCCUCUCUCCUUUGUGUUGUUUAUUGUUGUACAAAUUACACUGUUAUACACUGUGUGCCCGUAAACUAAGAUUAUAAUGAUUGUUUUAUGUGUUGUCUUUUAAAUCAGAUGGUAGAAAAUUACAAAUAAAAAAUACCUUUAUGUGUUCACCUCUGUCCUUACCUUUAUUGGUGUUCUUUACUUUUCAUCUGAGCUUGAGUUACUGUCUAGCGUUCUUUUAAUUCGGUCCGAAAAAAAAAAAACAACCCUUAGCAUAUCUUGUAGGGUUGGUUCACUAAUGAUGAAUUAUCUCGGUUUUUGUUUGUGAAUAUCUUCAUUUUUCUUUCAUACUUGAACACAUUUAUAAUGGGUAUUUUGAGGUCCUUUCUGUGAAAUUUGAUAUCUGGUUGUUUCCAGAGACAGCUUUUGUUGUUUUUUAUUCCCAAGGUGUAUGGGUUACAUUUUCCUGUCUCUUGCAUGCCUCAUAAUUUUUUGUUGGAAACUGGACAUUUGAGAUGAUAUAGUGUAGGACUCUGGGUACUCGUCUCCCUUCUUCCCCAACCAAGAUCUGUUAUUUUUGUGUGCCUGUUUGUUUUUUAGUGACUGGAUGAUUUUAGCAAUAUUUAUUUUCUCCAUCCUAUAAAGUAUGAAGUCUCUGAUGUUGUUCCUCAGGGAGUGAAACCAAGCAAGACCCUGUGGGCCUCCCGGGUAUAGAAGCAUUUCUGUGUCCCCAUUCCUUGCUUGUAGGGAACAAACCCCACCCUCCAUGACCUUCCCUGUGUCCCAAAGAGCAGAUUCAAACAGUUGCUAAUCAGGGAAGGGAGGAGAUUCAGAGACAAAGAAAGCACAGCCAAGAAACAACAGUGCAGUCUUGGGGCAGGGUCCUGUUUCUACCUCCAGAUACACACAGCAAUAUCCGUAAGCUCUUUAUAGAACUAAAACGCCCAACAAAUGCAAGAUGUCAGCAGUUCUUCAUUCUAGAGAAGACCAUCUGAAGUCAGAUGAAAGGAACCAGAGAAGCUCAUCAAGAGAUUAGCUGAGAGCAGAUGAAAGGAAUGCAGGCCCCGCACACACCCUGAUCCUUAUCAGCAGCCCCACUCUUGAACUAUUGCUAUGAAACUCCUCACCAAAUCCCCCCAGGUUGGGACAGUUUUCAAGGGCAGGAGCCUGCUGUGUCUCCCUUUGCCUGGAAAAGCAGUAAAGCUCUUCUUUUCUAAUUCACCCCAAACUCCGUCUCCAAGAUUUGAUUUGGCAUCAGUGCAUAGAGGCUGAGUUUUCGGCAUCAGAAGACCCAGCUUGGAUACUUCCACACUCACCUUGGGAUGAUGGUGGUAUUGGUCGUGCUGUUUCUUUCCCUGACCACACUCAGUUGUUAAACCCCACUAAUUGCAAGCUUAUUGCUCUAUUGUUUCUAAUAAUGCUCUAGGGCAUAAAUUGUCCUACAAACUAAUCCAAUCAAAGUGUGGCUCCUUUGGAAGAAUAGUUUCUGAGGUAUGUUUGAUAUUCUGACUGGAAGAGGAUUCCUCCCAGCAGUCCUACUCUUUGAGUCUCUCAUAAACUAGCUAUCCUACAGUUUAGGUUGUGUUUUCUUAAAAAUCCAUGAAUCUCUUUCUCAUUGUCUUUCACCAAAACCUUCACUAUUCUUGAUAGUGCUCUUAGAUUUGAAGUUUUCCAUGCCCUACUGAAAAUGAAAUCAGUUCCUUUGGGGGGAGAUUAGGAACUACCUAUUUUACAGUCUGCUUCUCACCCAGCCGAAAUCACUGAGCCAGGGCUCCAGAGCUGCAGGCAUGGACAAUGACAAGCUUCUCUCUGAAUCAUACCUCUUCUCUAGGAGCUGAGUGAUCACUGGAAUGUGCUGGCAACAGCCUGUAGCCGCUUUGGCUUGUCUCUCCUGGCAUGAAGCCUUCACAUAGGAUGGUGCAAGGCAGGCUCAAAAUGGCAAGGCCAUCUCUUGGUUAUUGUUCCCAAGAAAUGGUUUUCAACCACUAGAUUGCUUUCUGCACAUGGGUUUCUUUUUUAUUCCCUGGUACAAGACAAUUCUGGUGGCUUCAGGAGAAAAGCUUGACUGCGUGACAGGUGGGUGUUCUGUGAACAGUUCCUGUUUGCCUGAUGGACCCGGAGGCAGUGUGUGGGCCCACCUGGGAGCACCCUACAAGGAGCACAUAGAGGGCGAGACUGAGGCUGGGGGGGUGUUGUCCCCCGCUACUUCGAAGAGAACAGGGUUUGCAGCAGCAUCAGCAGUAUCUCAGCAGGGCAGCCAGGGAGCUGGAGCCCAGGGGAAGCUUAACGGAGCAGACACACACGGGCUGUGGGCUGUAGACUGUAGCACAGCAGAGUCUAAGAGAGCCAUCGAAGCCCCUGUCACUCCGUCCGGGGAUCGACACUGUGUGCGGCACUUGGGAACUUAUUAAGAAGCACAGCCCUCAUUCCCGACCCGCGGAUCCAAACCGAGGUGUGGACGAGAUCCUGACGCGACUCCUGUGCACAUUACAGUUUAGGAGCCCUGCUGCUCUAAUCGGACCACAGCACAGACACCGCUUCCUCCAGGAAGUCUUCCUGGUACUCCCUUCACCACCCCGGCACUCUGUCACCUGGAUCUCAUCUGUGUCCUCACUGGCCUUCUUGCUGCAGGUCUGCAUGUCCCUUCUUCAGAGGCGAGUGCUAGCCCAGAUCAUUCUGUGCUCACCUUGCACACGACCUGACUCAGAGCAUAUUCCAAUCAGAAGGCCCACUACUGGGCCAAUGAACCAAUGAAUGGGCAGGUGAUCAAUGAGACAGAAAUAACAGCCUGAAAUUCAUGGAAGGCUAGGUGUUUAUUUUUGCUGCUUCUCAGACAAGCUCCUCAAGGUAAAAACAAAACACACAGUUUCAAUAGCAUAGAUUUUAAACGUUCAACCUCAUACCAUGGCAUUUCAGGUUUCCAGAGCACUUUGGUUCAGGCACUUUUGUACCCAGAGGCACAGAGAAUUUCCCAGGCUGGAAGGGAGUGACUUACUCUCAUGGGGGUGCGGUUGUCAGCUGCCUGAUGAGGUACGGAAGAACAGCAGAUGACACCAGGUCAAGGCCAAAUGCACAGCCCACCCUGCCUUUCAUGAGCUGAUUGUCCGGUUGGGGUGUGGUCAGGCCCUCUGCUGCACCUGCCCCACCCUGAGGAGCCCCUGCAGCGGAAGGUGGGCAGGGAAGGGGAGGGAGCAUGUUAGACUUGGCUCUGUGUCAGCGUCUUUGGUGUAAGGAAACACCCCAGGCCCAGGGAGGGCCGGAGAAAAAGGGCAGCCAAUACUGAGUGGGGCUGACAAUCCUUGGUGAGUCCCAGCUGCCCGUGUUCUCCCUGCUUCCUAUCAGCAGGAAGUUGAUGGGCAUUUUUGUCAAGCAAAUGCUGAAAUCUGUGCUUCGCCCACUGCCUUUCCAGCGAGCUUCUCUGAGGCCAAGGCUGCCGCGCCAUCAGGGCCCAUCUGGGAGGCAAGCUCAUGCCGCCCGGCUCUUGAGCAGCAGACGGAAGACAUCCACAGGAAGCAGGCAGUUUCGUC